GCCGGGAUGGCCGAGUGGAAAGGCGCACGCCUGGAAAGCGUGUUCCCUCACGGGAUCGAGGGUUCGAAUCCCUCUCCCGGCG
rnacentral:tRNA from 1 species